rnacentral:lncRNA from 1 species
CUUGAUUGAUUUUUUUUUAUUUUCCACUGAGUGUUUUUUUACUAAUAAGCCUUAUAAUUAUAAUACGUUAAAUACUUAUAUUGGUCUUAAGUGUUUUAUUGAAUUGGUGUGACAGGUCGACCGGAUAUCUAUUUAGUUAUAAAAUUAUGAAAAUAUUCUUUCAUACAUAAAACAAGUUAUAUUUUUAUGACGGUGUUUUUAUUAUUU